rnacentral:rRNA from 1 species
GACGAACCGUGCGAACGUUGUUCGGAAUCACUGGGCUUAAAGGGCGCGUAGGCGGGCUAUCAAGUCCGGGGUGAAAUCCUCCAGCUUAACUGGAGAACUGCCUCGGAUACUGAUGGUCUCGAGGAGGAUAGGGGCACACGGAACUGUGGGUGGAGCGGUGAAAUGCGUUGAUAUCCAUAGGAACUCCGGUGGCGAAAGCGGUGUGCUGGAUCCUUUCUGACGCUGAGGCGCGAAAGCCAGGGGAGCAAACGGGGA